AUGAUCUUUUGGUCCAACCUCACGGAUGCUGUGACUCUGCCGCAGCACGCGGCUCCGUUACCGCCCGCGAGUUUCCCCCAAGCCGUUGCCCUACGGGCAGCGGUUCUCUCACCGCCAGUCCCGUGGGAGGCGGGGAGCAGCGCUGCGGGGCGGACCUGUGCGGCGGAGCGGGGCGGGCGCUGGGGGCGGCGGGUGGGAGCGGCCCGCGCGUCUCCUCCCAACGCCGCCCUGACAGCCCCGCGCCCCGCCCGAUCCUCGCGCCGCCGGCCGCGGCCCGACUCGGCACCGAGACCCGGCCGGGCUGUCAGCUCCGCCAGCCGCAUGCCGGGAGCCGGGGAAGAGCCGGAGGGUGCGCGAAAAAAAAUGAAUUCUGAAAGGCCUGCACUUACCAUGAGUAGUCCUGCCUUAAUAAACCAGUGUGCCAGAGGAGGAAUGGAAGAAGAAAAAGUUUGGUAAGGAAGCUUUACUUCUCCUUUUCUGAGAGGUUAGUGGAUGGUAAUAUUGAGGGACUUUGUUUUAAAAAAUAAGUCAAAGAAUUGUUUGUGUUAUAAAUGUUUAUAUUAAUUAUUUUGUAUUAUUUAACAAUAGAAGGAAAAAGGGGGAAGAAGCUCUUAUUGUUUUUGAAUUCUUAGCAGAUGACCAUGGGACUGUCAGGGGGAUGGGCAGUGGAAAAACUCCUGUUCACUUCAGCAGGGCACCAGUUGUCCUUGUGGAAUCUUUCACAAAUGGCAAAUGUCUUGAUCUCCCAGUGCUGUUGCUAUGCUUAUGCUCUGCUAUUAGUAGUAGCCCUCAAAGUGCUGUACAGUUUAGAAAUGAGGCUUGUGGUUUCCUGAGAUUGUGGCCCAGGAGACAUUAAAACGUCAAUAGUUUCUACUGUUGAUCAAAAGGAUUUAUGGUGAAGGAGCAACAAUGAAGUUCAGUGGUAGAUGUAGUAAACUCUUAUACUUCAGGACAAUUUCUUUGUGAAAACUGCCACUGACUGCAAUUUUUAGCACCUUGUUUGGUGUUGUCAUGAAGAGAGCUGUGCUGGGAAGGCAUUGAGGCUAUUUUGGCUGUGUUACUAGGAACCCUUUAUUGGGAUCCUGCUGAUUUUACUUGCUGUUGUUGGGCUGAGCUAGGAUUUUGUUACAGUGCUCAUUUAUCACAUAGAUAGAUAGCAAACUCAUACCACACAAAAAAAAACAUGUGGUGCCCAUAUAUUUUUCAAGUCUGAGAGAUAUUCAUUAAAAGCUCUUUCUGUUAAUGAAGCAAAGAAAUGCUAGCAAAUAAAUGUUGUAUUUCAUGUUGGAUGCUUUCA
rnacentral:lncRNA from 1 species